rnacentral:rRNA from 1 species
UACGUAGGGUGCGAGCGUUGUCCGGAAUUAUUGGGCGUAAAGAGCUCGUAGGCGGUUUGUUGCGUCGGCCGUGAAAACCUGCAGCUUAACUGUGGGCCUGCGGCCGAUACGGGCAGACUUGAGUUCGGUAGGGGAGACUGGAAUUCCUGGUGUAGCGGUGAAAUGCGCAGAUAUCAGGAGGAACACCGGUGGCGAAGGCGGGUCUCUGGGCCGAUACUGACGCUGAGGAGCGAAAGCGUAGGGAGCGAACAGG